CAACACAUUUUUUUUGUUAAGUAACCAAACUCAAGAACAAGAACACAAGAAAACCAUUUGUCUUCUUUACCUCCCGGUCCACUGAGCUGUUGCAACGCAUCAACAUAUCGAAGAUGCCAACACAAAGUAGCUUCAGUAUGGCUAUUAGUUACACAUUCAAUGGCUUUUACUCACAAAGUAGGCAUCACUUUCUCCAAUUCCUGAAGAUUGCAUAGGAGAGGAUCGCUUCAUGAGAUCAGAAAGAAUCAAUACAGAACAAAAAGAACAUAACACAUAAAUGUACCUAAAAGGCAUCAAAUCUGUAAACCUAAGAGGAUAGUAUCACUUGCUACCUAGGAACUCUUGAUAGUACAUUGACUUAAAUACAAAAAUGAAUGUAGACUCAGUACAUACCAACAUGAGGGCACAUGAACUGCUCUGAAGAUUCAUUAGCUUUAUCAGCAUCCUUUAGA
rnacentral:lncRNA from 1 species